rnacentral:lncRNA from 1 species
UCAACCAGUAAGCACAUUCUCGAAGGUGAGAGGAGAAGGGUUUCAUAACAGUUUAUACAGUUCAGAUAAUAUCAAAGUGGUAAAACGUUUAGCACUAAGCACAGAACAUGUAAUCAAAUCAGAAGAAGCCAAAUAUAACAGUUAUUCUAAGCUCGAAUUCUUGAACCCCGGACCAAAGAUUCUGGGUUCUUUACUUCCCCAGCAGAGUCGCCAGAGCAGUCACACCUCCUUUUUACGCGGCUACCCGAAGGAUAAAACGUAUAAGGGAGUUUUUCCAAUUAAA